UGACGAAGGAAGCACGACAAUAUGCACAGAAAUUGAAUUGGGUUUCUUGACCUGUCAUCGGUGAUGUCAUUUGUCUUUGAUUUAGGGCAUGGUUCCGCAACAAAACA